rnacentral:rRNA from 1 species
AGGGCAUUGCGGCAUGUCUUAACAUGCAGUCGGACGGCAGCGCGGGCUUCGGCCUGGCGGCGAGUGGCGAACGGGUGAGUAAUACAUCGGAACGUGUCCUGUAGUGGGGGAUAGCCCGGCGAAAGCCGGAUUAAUACCGCAUACGCUCUGCGGAGGAAAGCGGGGGAUCCUUCGGGACCUCGCGCUACAGGGGCGGCCGAUGGCAGAUUAGCUAGUUGGUGGGGUAAAGGCCUACCAAGGCGACGAUCUGUAGCUGGUCUGAGAGGACGACCAGCCACACUGGGACUGAGACACGGCCCAGACUCCUACGGGAGGCAGCAGUGGGGAAUUUUGGACAAUGGGGGCAACCCUGAUCCAGCAAUGCCGCGUGUGUGAAGAAGGCCUUCGGGUUGUAAAGCACUUUUGUCCGGAAAGAAAACUUCUGGGUUAAUACCCCGGGAGGAUGACGGUACCGGAAGAAUAAGCACCGGCUAACUACGUGCCAGCAGCCGCGGUAAUACGUAGGGUGCAAGCGUUAAUCGGAAUUACUGGGCGUAAAGCGUGCGCAGGCGGUUCGCUAAGACAGAUGUGAAAUCCCCGGGCUUAACCUGGGAACUGCAUUUGUGACUGGCGGGCUAGAGUAUGGCAGAGGGGGGUAGAAUUCCACGUGUAGCAGUGAAAUGCGUAGAGAUGUGGAGGAAUACCGAUGGCGAAGGCAGCCCCCUGGGCCAAUACUGACGCUCAUGCACGAAAGCGUGGGGAGCAAACAGGAUUAGAUACCCUGGUAGUCCACGCCCUAAACGAUGUCAACUGGUUGUCGGGCCUUCAUUGGCUUGGUAACGUAGCUAACGCGUGAAGUUGACCGCCUGGGGAGUACGGUCGCAAGAUUAAAACUCAAAGGAAUUGACGGGGACCCGCACAAGCGGUGGAUGAUGUGGAUUAAUUCGAUGCAACGCGAAAAACCUUACCUACCCUUGACAUGUACGGAACCCUGCCGAGAGGUGGGGGUGCCCGAAAGGGAGCCGUAACACAGGUGCUGCAUGGCUGUCGUCAGCUCGUGUCGUGAGAUGUUGGGUUAAGUCCCGCAACGAGCGCAACCCUUGUCCCUAGUUGCUACGCAAGAACACUCCAGGGAGACUGCCGGUGACAAACCGGAGGAAGGUGGGGAUGACUUCAAGUCCUCCUGGGCCCUUAUGGGUAGGGCUUCCCACGUCAUACAUGGUCGGAACAGAGGGUCCCCAACCCCGAGGGGGAACCAAUCCCAAAAAACCAAUCGAUUCCGGAUCCCACCUUGCACUCCGGGGGCUGGAAACUGGAACCCCUUAGAAAACCCGGAUACCAUUGCCCGGGGAAAACUUUCCCGGGCUUGUAACACCCCCCCCCCCCCCUGGGAAGGGGUUUUCCCAAAGGGCUUUUCUACCCCCAGGGGAGGGCCCCCCCGGGGAAUUCUAGGGGGGGGGGAAACACAAAAAGGAAAAAGGGGGGUUUUU